rnacentral:rRNA from 1 species
AUUGAACGCUGGCGGCAUGCCUUACACAUGCAAGUCGAACGGUAACAGGUCUUCGGAUGCUGACGAGUGGCGAACGGGUGAGUAAUACAUCGGAACGUGCCCGAUCGUGGGGGAUAACGAGGCGAAAGCUUUGCUAAUACCGCAUACGAUCUACGGAUGAAAGCGGGGGAUCUUCGGACCUCGCGCGGACGGAGCGGCCGAUGGCAGAUUAGGUAGUUGGUGGGAUAAAAGCUUACCAAGCCGACGAUCUGUAGCUGGUCUGAGAGGAUGAUCAGCCACACUGGGACUGAGACACGGCCCAGACUCCUACGGGAGGCAGCAGUGGGGAAUUUUGGACAAUGGGCGAAAGCCUGAUCCAGCCAUGCCGCGUGCAGGAUGAAGGCCUUCGGGUUGUAAACUGCUUUUGUACGGAGCGAAAAGCCUCUUUCUAAUAAAGAGGGGUCAUGACGGUACCGUAAGAAUAAGCACCGGCUAACUACGUG